UGAGGAAGCUGUAAAUCACCAAUCCCAGACCGAAGGUCUUCCAGCCCCAGAUGACCGGAAGGAUGGGUGAAUACUUCUGGAAGUAGUGUGGCACAGCCUUACUCAAGCUACGAGGCAGUAGGCAAGCCUAAUCGUGUCCAGAACAAAGCCAGUACCAGGAGUGGAGCGUUUUGUGGUAUGCACAGGUAGGGGGAUUAAUUUGUAGCCAAGGGUAAAAGUAGUUCCUGACUUCUACCAACUGGAGAAACUGGGAAAUUGAGAGUAGCCCAGAGUGUCCCUUCCUCCUCUUGCCUAUGCAAGGGAACUGAGACAUAGGUCCACCCAUUGUGGUCAGCGUCUUCUGACUCUAUCCAAUCAGAAGGGUUGGAGACAUCUCCUGGAAGCAGUGUAACCCAGCAGCACCGGAACUGAGGACUGCUGUUUUCCUGCCCACCAUGUGACUCACAAGAUUAGAAACCAGGCCUUCCUUAAAGUCCCUUCCAUCAAGAUUCUAUGAAUUUUUUUCAUGCUGGGUGUCCACGAAUCAGUCCAUCCUAUAGAUGGUCGGGCUGAGUCUCAAGGAUUGAAUGACCUGCACUCUGAAAAUCCCUACAGAGCAAUGACAGAGCCAGUUUCAUAAGACAAAAUUUCUUACAGACCCCUGUUUAAUUUGUUCCGUACCAUAUUAUUUUUUGUUUUGUGAAAGCCUGAGAAAUGUGUCUGUCAAAGUGUGGUUCCUCGCUGCCCAGGUCUGAGGAUAAGGCCACUGCUUUGUCUACCUCACCUUCAGAGUUGUCUGUGCGCCGCCCAGAGGUGCUAGUCCCGUGGUGGGAGUAGUGAGACCAACAUAUGGGCCAGCAAGGUCCCUUCGCUCUCCAGGGAACCCCACCUUCCCGGGUGCAGUAGGGGUGGUAGAAGAGACUGGGUGUUAGCAAGGGUUUUGGAAAAACGUACGUCUGGCAGUUGAAUCGAGGUUUCAUUUCUUACUGUCGCGUCCAUGCACAGACCUCAGGUUAUUUGUUUAUACCUCAGAAAUAAUAACACCAGGCCUUCCAACAAAGGCUGUGAGAACAGAUGAGGGAAUGGUGCAGGGUAGUCAUCAAAGGACCCGACACAAGAUAUCCUCAGUACACGCUUAGAGGAUCUUGCUUAGCAUUGAAAUGAUCAUCCGGAACAAUCAGACAACCAUAGUUGCUUUUAUUACAUCUAAAACUCUUCUGGAGGAGCUCCUGGCUGGCUCAGUCGGUAGAGCAUGCG